rnacentral:rRNA from 1 species
GACUGCUCAGUACACGUGGAUACCUACCCUUAGGACCGGAAUACCCCGGGAAACUGGGAUAUACCGGAUAGCCAUAGACGCUGGAAUGCCCUAUGGUUCAAGCUCCGGCGCCUAAGGAUGGAUCUGCGGUCUAUCAGGUUGUAGUGGGUGUAACGUACCUACUAGCCGACGACGGAUACGGGUUGUGAGAGCAAGAGCCCGGAGAUGGAUUCUGAGACACGAAUCCAGGCCCUACGGGGUGCAGCAGGCGCGAACACUUUACAAUGCGGGAAACCGCGAUAAGGGAACCCCGAGUGCCAGCAUCAAAUGUUGGCUGUCCAGAUGAUUAAAAAUCAUUUGUUAGCAAGGGCCGGGCAAGACCGGUGCCAGCCGCCGCGGUAACACCGGCGGCCCGAGUGGUAGCCGUUUUAUUGGGUCUAAGGGUCCGUAGCGGCUUGAUAGUCCUUUGGGAAUCUGGCAGCUUAACUGUCAGGCUUCUAGGAUACUGUCAGGCUUGGGACCGGAAGAGGUAAGGGACUCCAGGGUAGGAGUGAAAUCUUGUAAUCCCUGGGGGACCAUCUGUGGCGAAGGCGCCUACCAGAACGGGUCCGACACGUGAGGGACGAAAGCUAGGGGAGCAAACCGGAUUAGAUACCCGGGUAGUCCUAGCUGCAAACGAUGCUCNNUAGGUGUCAGACACGGUGCGACCGUGUUUGGUGCCGCAGGGAAGCCGUUAAGCGAGCCACCUGGGAAGUACGGUCGCAAGGCUGAAACUUAAAGGAAUUGGCGGGGGAGCACUACAACGGGUGGAGCCUGCGGUUUAAUUGGAUUCAACGCCGGAAAACUCACCGGGUGCGACAGCAACAUGUAGUCAGGCUGAAGGUCUUACCUGAAUCGCUGAGAGCAGAUGCAUGGCCGUCGUCAGUUCGUACUGUGAAGCAUCCUGUAAGUCAGGCAACGAGCGAGACCGCGCCACAGUUGCCAGCAUGUCUCGGACGAUGGGUACACUGUGGGGACCGCCGCUGCUAAGCGGAGGAGGACGGGCUACGGUAGGUCAGUAUGCCCCGAAUCUCCCGGGCUACACGCGGGCUACAAUGGUUGGACAAUGGGCACCUACCCUGAAAAGGGACGGUAAUCUCCUAAACCCAACCGUAGUUCGGAUUGAGGGCUGUAACUCGCCCUCAUGAAGCUGGAAUCCGUAGUAACCGCGUUUCAACAUAGCGCGGUGAAUACGUCCCUGCUCCUUGCACACACCGCCCGUCAAACCAUGCGAGUGAGGUCUGGGUGAGGGCAUGUUUAUGACAUGUUCGAACCUGGGCUUCGCAAGUGGGGUU